rnacentral:rRNA from 1 species
CCUACGGGAGGCAGCAGUGAGGAAUAUUGGUCAAUGGACGAGAGUCUGAACCAGCCAAGUAGCGUGAAGGAUGACUGCCCUAUGGGUUGUAAACUUCUUUUAUAUGGGAAUAAAAUGUUCCACGUGUGGGAUUUUGUAUGUACCAUAUGAAUAAGGAUCGGCUAACUCCGUGCCAGCAGCCGCGGUAAUAUGGAGGAUCCGAGCGUUAUCCGGAUUUAUUGGGUUUAACGGGAGCGUAGGUGGAUUGUUAAGUCAGUUGUGAAAGUUUGCGGCUCAACCGUAAAAUUGCAGUUGAAACUGGCAGUCUAGAGUACAGUAGAGGUAGGCGGAAUUCGUGGUGUAGCGGUGAAAUGCUUAGAUAUCACGAAGAACUCCGAUUGCGAAGGCAGCUCACUGGACUGCAACUGACACUGAGGCUCGAAAGUGUGGGUAUCAAACAGGAUUAGAUACCCUGGUAGUC